rnacentral:rRNA from 1 species
GGUAUGGGAUGAGCUUGCGUCCGAUUAGCUAGUUGGCGGGGCAACGGCCCACCAAGGCGACGAUCGGUAGCCGGCCUGAGAGGGUGAUCGGCCACAUUGGGACUGAGAUACGGCCCAGACUCCUACGGGAGGCAGCAGUAGGGAAUAUUGCACAAUGGGGGGAACCCUGAUGCAGCAACGCCACGUGUGGGAAGAAGCAUUUCGGUGUGUAAACCACUGUCGUGAGGGAAUAAGGCCUGUUCUAGGACAGGAUUGAAUGUACCUCGAAAGGAAGCACCGGCAAACUUCGCGCCAGCAGCCGCGGUAAUACGAGGGGUGCAAGCGUUGUUCGGAAUCACUGGGCGUAAAGGGAGCGUAGGCGGAGAUUCAAGCGGAUUGUACAAUCCCGGGGCCCAACCCCGGACCUGCAGUCCGAACUGGAUCUCUUGGAUAGUUCAGGGGCAGGC